rnacentral:rRNA from 1 species
UACGGAGGGUGCAAGCGUUAUCCGGAUUUAUUGGGUUUAAAGGGUCCGUAGGCGGAUCUGUAAGUCAGUGGUGAAAUCCGGCAGCUCAACUGUCGAUGUGCCAUUGAUACUGCAGAACUUGAGUACAGACGAGGUAGGCGGAAUUGACGGUGUAGCGGUGAAAUGCUUAGAUAUCGUCAAGAACACCGAUAGCGAAGGCAGCUUACUAGACUGUAACUGACGCUGAUGCACGAAAGUGUGGGGAUCAAACAGG